rnacentral:rRNA from 1 species
UACGUAGGGACCAAGCGUUGUCCGGAAUCAUUGGGCGUAAAGAGCGUGUAGGCGGCUUGUUAAGUCUUGCGUGAAAUCUCGGGGCUCAACCCCGAGCGGUCGUGAGAAACUGGCAGGCUAGAGUGCGGGAGAGGAGAGUGGAAUUCCUGGUGUAGCGGUGAAAUGCGCAGAUAUCAGGAAGAACACCCGUGGCGAAGGCGGCUCUCUGGAACGCAACUGACGCUGAGGCACGAAAGCCAGGGGAGCAAACGGG